CAGGCGGGACGGUCUGUCGCCCGAAAGGGAGGAAAGUCCGGACAGGAAAGGGCACCCCGCUGCGGAAAGCGCAGAAGGGAGUAAUCUUUUGGAGGCCGUAACAGAAAACAACCGCCGGCACCAAGGGUGGAAGGCUUCGGCCGCAAUACCACCUGCCGGCAAGGAUGAAAACGCGGGGCAAGAGCCCACGACGGCAGGCGGCGACGUCUGUCGGGUACGGCACCGGGGCCUGCAAGACCAAAUAUACCGGCAGAUGAGGGCGGCCCGCCCGAUGCCGGGGGGUAGGUUGCGAAGAUAAAUGACAGACUCAAAAACAGAAACCGGCUUACGGUCCCGCCUUUAUU
rnacentral:RNase_P_RNA from 1 species